UUUAAUUGGCAGAGAAAAGCAUUAUGGAACAAUUAAAUAUUACCGAGCCAGUUUAGAACUUGCUGAGCAGGAAUUGCCCAAAAGAGUGGAGAAGAAAGAAGACAAUGUUUCACUGAAUUCAUUCUCUGCUAUGUUACCAAAGAACUGAAUAAUAAUCAUCAAAGAGGUAUUCAAGAACAUGAAUUGAUUUUGUUGCACGCAGGAUAAUGUUCUUGUUUAAGAAACAGCAUGAAGGCCACUGUGGAUGAUGAAGGUUGAAAAAUAAAUGAAUAAAUGAGUGAGAAAAUGAAUAAUAGAAGACAAAGUCAACAGGUUAAAAGAAGCAAAGCCAGGUGGGCACGGUGGCUCAUGCCUGUAAUCCCAGCACUUUGGGAGGCCGAGGAGGGCAGAUCAUGAGGUCAGGAGAUCGAGACCACCCUGGCUAACACGGUGAAAAACCUGUCUCUACUAAAAAUACAAAAAAUUAGCCAGGCGUGGUGGUGGGCGCCUGUAGUCCCAGCUACUCGGGAG
rnacentral:lncRNA from 10 species